rnacentral:rRNA from 1 species
CUUUACUGUAGCCUGGUAUUGGGUUCGGGCUUUGACUGCGCAGGAUAGGUGGGAGACUGAGAAGUGUGCCUUGUGGGGCACAUAGAGUCAACGGUGAGAUACCACUCUGUCAGAGCUAGAAUUCUACCUUCACCCGUGAUCCGGGGAAGGAACCGUAUCAGGUGGGCAGUUUGACUGGGGCGGUCGCCUCCUAAAAGGUAACGGAGGCGCGCAAAGGUGUUCUCAGGCUGGUUGGAAAUCAGCCGUAGAGUGUAAAGGCAGAAGAACGCUUGACUGUGAGAGUGACAACUCAAGCAGGGUGGAAACACGGCCUUAGUGAUCCGACGGUAUGCGCGUGGAAGUGCCGUCGCUCAACGGAUAAAAGUUA